UGGAAGGAAUUUAUUUAUCCACAAAACAGGUAGAGCACAGGUUGCAGCAGUGUACGUUUCUCUUACGCCACACCACCAAUGUGCCUCCAUUAAUCUGGAGAGACCACCUUUAAAGCAGUACAUUCUUUAUGGCCCAUUCCAUCCUCAGCCUCU
rnacentral:sRNA from 1 species